GUCUCUGAAAAUGAUUUUUAUGGAAUCUUUCGUUCUUCCGAGUUGAUAUUCAACGAGGAAGUUUCAUGGAGACCUGGGCUGAAGAGGC